GGGUGCGAUCAUGCCAACGUUAAUGCACCAAAUCCCAUUGAAACUCCACAGUUAAGCGUUCUUUGGAUAGAGUAGUACUUGGAUGGGUGACCUCCCAGAAAGUCCUAGUGUUGCACCUG
rfam:Picea glauca, whole genome shotgun sequence.